AACGAGAAAGAAGAGCUUGCUUUUCUGAUCGAGUGGCGAACGGGUGAGUAACGCGUGAGGAACCUGCCUCAAAGAGGGGGAUAACAUUUGGAAACAGAUGCUAAUACCGCAUAAGCGCACGGUUCCGCAUGGAACAGUGUGAAAAACUCCGGUGGUGUGAGAUGGACCCGCGUCUGAUUAGCCAGUUGGCGGGGUAACGGCCCACCAAAGCGACGAUCAGUAGCCGGCCUGAGAGGGUGAACGGCCACAUUGGGACUGAGACACGGCCCAAACUCC
rnacentral:rRNA from 1 species